AGCAGCGUAGCUCAGUGGAAAGAGCAUGGGCUUAGGAGUCAGCGUCAUGGGUUCGAAUCCCGGCUCUGCCA
rnacentral:tRNA from 1 species